rnacentral:rRNA from 1 species
AUUGAACGCUGGCGGCAGGCCUAACACAUGCAAGUCGAACGAGUGGCGGACGGGUGAGUAAUGUCUGGGAAACUGCCCGAUGGAGGGGGAUACCUACUGGAAACGGUAGCUAAUACCGCAUACCAUCGGAUGUGCCCAGAUGGGAUUAGCUAGUAGGUGGGGUAACGGCUCACCUAGGCGACGAUCCCUAGCUGAUCUGAGCGGAUGACCAGGCAAACUGGAACUGAGACACGGUCCAGACGCCUACGAGAGGCAGCAGUGGGGAAUAUUGCACAAUGGGGGCAAGCCUGAUGCAGCCAUGCCGCGUGUAUGAAGAAGGACUUCGGGUUGUAAAGUAGUUUCAGCGAGGAGGCGUUACUCGCAGAAGAAGCACGGGCGAACUCCGUGCCAGCAGCCGCGGUAAUAC